CCCCUAGAUGUUCUGGGCCGCACGCGCGCUACACUGGUCGAUGCAACGAGUUUCUUUCCUUGGCCGACAGGCCUGGGCAAUCUUUGAACAUCGAUCGUGAUCGGGAUAGAUUCUUGUAAUUUUUGAUCUUAAACGAGGAAUUCCUAGUAAACGCAAGUCAUCAGCUUGCAUUGAUUACGUCCCUGCCCUUUGUACACACCGCCCGUCGCACCUACCGAUUGAAUGGUCCGGUGAAAUCUCGGGACGGCGGCUUGGUCGCUUGCGUCCGACUGCUGAAACUUGAUUAAACCAUAUCAUUUAGAGGAAGGUGAAGUCGUAACA
rnacentral:rRNA from 1 species